GAGAGUAUAGCUCAGUGGUAGAGCACAUGCUUAGCAUGCACAAGGCCCUGGGUUCAAUCCCCAGUAUCUCCA
rnacentral:tRNA from 1 species